rnacentral:lncRNA from 1 species
GGUCUGAGGUAGUAUUCCAUAAUCAAAUAAAUUAAUAUUUCUACACCAAAAAGCACAGUAGCCUCAUUAGGAAAACAAUGUGUGAAUUACAGAUAAAAUUGUCGCCAAUAUAAAGGGCCUAACAUAUACAAUAUUUAGAUUUUGAAAAAAAAAUGACUCGGUCUCAGCCCACUAAAUUCUCUACAAGUAAAAUUAACUCAAUUUAAAAGGUAUAUGAUAAGCCAGGCAGUAGUAGUUAACACCUUUAAUCCCAGCACUUGGGAGGCAGAGGCAGGCAGAUUUCUGAGUUCGAGGCCAGCCUGGUCUAUAGAGUGGGUUCCAGGACAGCCAGGGCUACACAGAGAAACCCUGUCUCGAAAAACAAACAAACAAAAAAAACAACCAACCAAACAAAAAAGGAAUAUGAUAAUUUAGAAUAGAAAGUAUUUCUAACUGCUUAGGAAUCCUGACAAGACUCACCUCCCUCUCAUGUUGCAUCUCCUUAGUUCUUCAGUCAUCUGCCCUUGCUUCGUUUCCAUUUUAAAAUAUAUUUAAGUUCAUCAUAAGCCAUAGAUUACAUAAACUCUGAUAACAUAUUUACAUGAUCUUCUUUUAAAAAUAAAAUUCUCUGCAACACCAAACAAAAAAUCAAUAGCUAAUAUGUCAAAAGUAUUUCUCAUACAAAUAUUUGUAUAUUGGAAAUGAAGAAAAAUGACCAAACUGCAUAUUAUCUAGAUUUCUAAGUGCAAUUUGGUGUUUGAAAGUGUGGAUUGACUAAGUGAUUUCAUAUCUUAGUGAGAGAUGCUAACAAAGUCUCUCAUCUAGAGCAGAUCCUGCAAAACUGUGCAUCUUGUGAGGUGGUAGUUAAACAUGGCAAAUUACAGAAGAUUGGCUUGGAAGAGCACAGUGAGUCACUUGGGGUUGCGGAUUUGGAGGAGACAGUUGUAUUCUCAUGUGGGGUUUCAUAGGGAAGAUUGGAGAGAAACACAGAGAACAUUUUUUUCAGUAUUUGGUUCAACUAAGGAAACAGAUGUCACUGCGGAAAUUCUUCUCCAUUUAUGCAUAUUCUCCCCAUGGUGUAGGUUCCUAACUUGCAGAUUAACUUUCUAUAUGCCCCACAGAGGAGAAGAACACUACAAAGGAAUAACACUGGCCAUGUGCAUAGGUGUGCUUAGUAAUUUAUGUUAGAAAAUUUUGAACUCAUACUCAAAUGGCAAUAGCUUUUAAAGGCUAGAUAUUAAGAAAAAAAGAGUGAUUUAUCAUAUAAAAUGUUAAACAUGGUAAAUGGUAGAAUC